AAAAAAAAAAAAAAAGAGAAAGAAAAGUAGUCAGUUAACACAUAAAACAAAAAAAAAAAGGUGGCAACAAAACGAUUUAGAUACUCACUAGUCAGCAGAGAGGCCAGGUAAUUCGCCUCAAGCGAAUACUGGGUCUCAAAGUCAAAAGGCUCUAAAGGGCUCGAAGAAGAGGAGCCCUCCGACGACACCAGUGGCGUCGGGCAGCCGGAAACCGAAACACUCGGAGACACCAACGUCGGCGGUCGGAUGGGGACAAGCGCUGGCAUACCACCUGCGCUUUGCACCCUUCCGGACGGCGACGCGGGCGGGGGCUGAGGCACCGGGGUGGCUACAAACGCCCGGAAAGCCGAGCGGGCCGGGCUGGUCGGUCGCACAAACGACUCGACAACGGAUGGGCCGGAAGGGCCACCCGCCGGGACACGCAAAGGCACCCCACAACUUUUUCUAGCCGUCGGCCGACAUGGGCCGGAACGACAAGCCGCCGGAGGCACAACGGAGCCAGCUUGGCUCCGGGACGGCGGCUGAACGAAUCCAGAAGGGCCAGCGGACGGAACAAUUCGAGGUGAUUCGGGACGAACCCGAAUGACGAGGGGGGGAACUACCGAUGACGAGGGCAACUGGGGAAUCCCCACAGUAGAACUAGCGGAGGACUCCGCAUAAGCGACGCGCUUAAAUCUUUUAGGGCGCGGCAUUUUUAAAGCUAGAACAGAGAGGUGCAACUUUUUUCACUCAAAGUAAAAGAACGAUAGAUGCGCACUAGGGCGAGGCGAAAUAGGCAAUGAACAGAAAUAGUGAAAUCUCUGACGAAAAUAAAAAGACCACCCGUUAGACCAUCGUCAGCAAGUAAGGACACCCACCAAAUCCUCGUUUCAAAUAGCUAAAAGAUCGUAUAAAUAACAAAAAAAAAAAGAAAAAGAAUACAUUUACACUAUACUUCCCCAUAUAUAUAUUCAAGAAACAGAACCAAACAAAUAACAUGUAACACAAUACAAAAAAAAAAAAAAUGUAUUUGUCCUACUGCAAAGCUUAAGAAAGUAGAAAUAUUAAUCGAAGAGGAUGACAAUAUAGAGCACAUUGUAUUUCAAAUUGUUUACGCUACAUUUUAGCUUCAAUAAUCAACCUAUUUUCCAUUACGACCAUGUUAUGUCCCAUGAUAACCAUGUUAUGUCCCAUGAUAACCAUGUUAUGCCCCAUGAUGCCAUUAUAGAAAGUCGAAAAAUCUUGAAACCAUCAAAGGUGAAGGAACAAAAAGAAAAAAAAAAAAAGAGAAGGCGAUGUCAUUUAAUCAAAGGCGAAUUAUUGAAAAACGCGCAAGAAAAAGAAACAAAAGAGCCAACGACGAGCCAGUGUAACCAAAGCGUACCAGUCGCGCAUACGUAACACUGCAGUAGCCGGCGGGCAGAUAAAUUCCGAUGAAAGUUUCAAGGCCACCCCAUGCAUAUGUAUUGUACAGCGCCGUAAAAGCUGUGAAACUAUCGUACAUUACCUGUUUAAAUGUUUCUUUCAAUGCAUUCUAUUAACCGAUCCUUAGCUUAGCUUAAUAUUUUAUUUGCCCGGGAGUGCAAAUUUAAAAGGGGGGGAGUGUGUAAGGAUCGGGUUAACUCACCGCUCUGGCAGAGAGUAGUACCCGAACCCAGCCACGGGAGGGCACCCGCAACCAGCAAACAAGCGGCGCAUCUAUAGCACCAACAGCCAUAAGCGCGCAAUUCAAAAGACGUAUGCGCAAACGAGUCCGUUGAGCAAAUAGGAUCCGCUCACGGACACCGUGAUGCUGACUCACGGGGAGUAUCCAGUGCCGACACCGUGAGGCUGACUCACGGGAAGUAUCCAUUGCCGACACCCUGAUGUCGACACACGGGAGGUAUCCAUUCCCAACACCGCGAUAUCGACAUCAGCCAGAGUAUCAAUCCCAACACGGCAAUAACAGCAAUAACGAGAUCAAUCUACGACGCUGACUUCCGCCUUGACCAGUAUAAAAGCCCCCUUGUUUCCCUUGUAUAACCAGUCUUCUCCGAGCAGGCCUUCACGCUGGUAAACCCUUUCUCUCUUAUUAUUCUGAUAUUGAAUAGUCGCAUUCGUGUAUUUUUAUGUUCAAUCUCGUGUAUUCAAAUACAAACGUCAUCCUCUUA